GUUUUGUCUCAGGGUUUUGGAGUCUAUUGUGCUGAUAACGUGUUGUAAUUAUAGAGUUUAGAGACUGAAUAUUUAUGUGUUCUUAUUAAUGAUCAAGGGGGUUCAUUUAUAUAAGACUCGCGAGAUGUAGAUAAAUGGAAAGUAUCCAAACCUAAACUCACUAGGAUUAGGAAAACUACUAAUACAUAAUAAUGGAAAUAUUACAUCUACUAGGAAAAAGAAAGGGUUUCCUUUUCUCUAAGCUUUGUGGCCGUCUCUCUCUCUCCUAAAUUCGGCUCUCUCUCUCCUCUCUCUAGGCUUCGGCCAUCUCUCCAUCUUCUAGGUAUUGGGCCGGUCUCGGUCCGAACCUGGUUAAUGGCAAUCCACUCCGUGAUUUAUAACAGUUUUGUAAUUAAUAUGAGUGUUAUUAGAACAAUUUAGUUGUACUAAAUCUGUCUUUCCGCUGGAGCUUUUCCUAGUUCCUGACUUUCUUUUUUUUUUGUAAAAAGGCUUUCAAUUUGAAAAAAAUGUACAAGAUGUGAUUUGUUAGAUCACAUGGUUUUGGAAAAUUUAGUACAUAAUGUAAGCAAAGAAAGAGUUAUAACAACCUAAGAGACUUUUACAACUCUUU
rnacentral:lncRNA from 1 species